GACGAACGCUGGCGGCGUGCUUAACACAUGCAAGUCGAACGGAAAGGCCCUGCUUUUGUGGGGUGCUCGAGUGGCGAACGGGUGAGUAACACGUGAGUAACCUGCCCUUGACUUUGGGAUAACUUCAGGAAACUGGGGCUAAUACCGGAUAGGAGCUCCUGCUGCAUGGUGGGGGUUGGAAAGUUUCGGCGGUUGGGGAUGGACUCGCGGCUUAUCAGCUUGUUGGUGGGGUAGUGGCUUACCAAGGCUUUGACGGGUAGCCGGCAUGAGAGGGUUACCGGCCACAUUGGGACUGAGAGACGGCCCAGACUCCUACGGGAGGCAGCAGUGGGGAAUAUUGCACAAUGGGCGGAAGCCUGAUGCAGCAACGCCGCGUGCGGGAUGACGGCCUUCGGGUUGUAAACCGCUUUCGCCUGUGACGAAGCGUGAGUGACGGUAAUGGGUAAAGAAGCACCGGCUAACUACGUG
rnacentral:rRNA from 1 species